rnacentral:rRNA from 1 species
AAAGGAAUAGACGGGGACCCGCACAAGCGGUGGAGCAUGUGGUUUAAUUCGACGCUACGCGAAGAACCUUACCAAGGCUUGACAUCCUUUGAUCGUCUAAGAGAUUAGAUUUUCCCUUCGGGGACAAAGUGACAGGUGGUGCACGGUUGUCGUCAGCUCGUGUCGUGAGAUGUUGGGUUAAGUCCCGCAACGAGCGCAACCCCUACAGUUAGUUGCCAUCAUUAAGUUGGGCACUCUAGCAGGACUGCCGCGGAUAACGCGGAGGAAGGUGGGGAUGACGUCAAAUCAUCAUGCCCCUUAUGUCUUGGGCUACACACGUGCUACAAUGGACAGUACAAAGGGUUGCGAAGCCGCGAGGUGAAGCCAAUCCCAUAAAGCUGUUCCCAGUUCGGAUUGUAGGCUGCAACUCGCCUACAUGAAGUCGGAAUCGCUAGUAAUCGCAGGUCAGCAUACUGCGGUGAAUACGUUCCCGGGUCUUGUACACACCGCCCGU